GCGGGGGCCGCCUCUAGUCCCCGGGAGAAGCCAAGAAGCCUGCCGGAGACUAGGUUGCUGCCUUGCCAAGAGCUAUCCUGGCAGGACUAUUGAAAGAGCUUUGAGGUGGCAGCCGGCUCCUUGCAGCUGGGAGUGUCCAGAAACACAUUUGACAUUCCAGUAUCCUGUGCUUGCAUGUUUGUCUGUGGGUGCCUCCUGGCGACACGGGGAUUGGGGGGGCAAGAAGGAAGCUGGAGAUCACUUUCCCUGUGGCCGCCUUUCUGGCCUGGUCUCAGGCAGGCAUUUGGAUGGCCUCUGUAUGGUUUACUGAAGUCACCAUCAUGAUGUCUUCUUUAAGAGUCUGAGCUCAUCACAGAAUCCCCAGAGAGAACUUCUCAUAACCAGAACGGUCCCCCAAAAUGCAUUCGAAUUUGUUCCUCUAUAUGUCUUUAUGUCUAAUAAAUAUGUCCCAAAUGAA